CAGCCCCAAACAAAGUGGCAUCCAGGGAGUAGAAGUUGGCCCAGUGGUAUCAGAAGAGGUCCAGCCCCAAACAAAGUGGCAUCCAGGGAGUAGAAGUUGGCCCAACCCCUGCAGUAGACAAAGUGGAACAACAAGACAUUGAAGAUGAGGAGAAUCUUGCACAGAGUUAAACACUUCAACAGACACCUGAGCAUUGGCAUUCAUAUGAUCUACCUGUGAAGUUCAACCAGGCUUUAUAAAGCAUUACACACAAGGCAGCUAUGAUACACUGUGUUGUGAUUGGCCAAAAAUGCAGAUUGGUAACACCAGUCACCUAAGCCACCAUUGCCCUUGCAGACAAGAGUGUGAAGUAACAGCCCCUACAGUUUACAGCAAAGCCCUCAACUGUAGCCCUACAAA